ensembl:lncRNA
CUCGAGCCAGGACUGUCAUCCGAGGAGGGAGCCUACGAUGCAUUUAAAAAAAAUCCUGUCUGGGAGCUUCCCUGAAAGAAUCCACCUGCCCGUGCAGGAGACAUGAGUUGGAUCCCUGGUUCAUGGAGCAACUCAGCUCAUGUGCCAAAGCCACUGAGCCCACAGACGGCAGAGCCCGUGCUCCGCAGCAAGAGAAGCCGCUGCAGCGAGCAGCCGGGCACCACAAGAGGAGGACCCUGCUCCCCGCAACCAGAGGAAAGCCUGGGCAGCAACAAAGACUCAGCACGGC